rnacentral:rRNA from 1 species
AUACGGAGGGUGCAAACGUUAUUCGGAAUCACUGGGCGUAAAGGACGCGUAGGCGGGUUGGCAAGUCAGAUGUGAAAUCCUACAGCUUAACUGUAGAACUGCAUUUGAAACUGCUAACCUAGAGUAUGGGAGGGGGAGAUGGAAUUAGUGGUGUAGGGGUAAAAUCCGUAGAUAUCACUAGGAAUACCGAAAGCGAAGGCGAUCUCCUGGAACAUAACUGACGCUAAGGCGUGAAAGCGUGGGGAGCAAACAGGAUUAGAAACCCCAGUAGUCC